rnacentral:rRNA from 1 species
AUACGGGGGGUGCAAGCGUUAAUCGGAAUUACUGGGCGUAAAGCGCGCGUAGGCGGUUAAAUAAGUUGGAUGUGAAAUCCCCGGGCUCAACCUGGGAACUGCAUUCAAAACUGUUUAACUAGAGUAUGGUAGAGGGAAGUGGAAUUCCAGGUGUAGCGGUGAAAUGCGUAGAUAUCUGGAGGAACAUCAGUGGCGAAGGCGACUUCCUGGAUCAAUACUGACGCUGAGGUGCGAAAGCGUGGGGAGCAAACAGGAUUAGAAACCCUGGUAGUCC